ACACGUUAAGCCACUGUACCUUUCCAGCUGCUGCUCAUGCAACUGUGCAUCACAGGGCAGCUGAGCAGUUCUUAUACACACAGGAGCUAAAAGAUUCACAUGAUUGGUCAGUGUCACUCUGUCAGGGGAGGGGGUAACACCAUACCUCCCACUUAGACAGCACAGGUAUCUGGGCUCUGCUAAACUUAAUCUGAUUUGUUGGUUUUGAGAGUUAGGCUCUGGUAAAUUAAAUCUGAUUGGUUGGUGUUGGGGUCUACACUCUGGCAGACUGAACAUGAUUGGUGUUGGAGUUUAGGGUCUGAUAGACUGAAUCUGAUAAGUUGGUGUUGGAGUUUAGACUCUGGUACACUGAAUCUGAUUGGUUGGUGUUAGAAUCUAGAUUCUGGUAGACUGAAUCUGAUUGGUUGGUGUUUGGGUCUAAACUCUGGUAGACUGAAUCUGAUUGGUUGGUGUUGGGAUUUAGGCUUUGGUAGUCUGAAUCUGAUUGGUUGGUGUUGGGAUUUAGGCUUUGGUAGUCUGAAUCUGAUUGGUUGGUGUUGGGAUUUAGGCUUUGGUAGACCGGAUGCAUUAUGGUGUUCUGAAUCUGAGGUGGAUCAUUUUCAUAAUCAGCAGUCUGAAAUAAAUAGAGAUAAACAGAUCAUAGAAAAAAAUCAUCCCAACAUCAAAAUUAAGACAGAAGAUUUUGAAGCAAAACCAUUGGACACACAUCUAAUAAUGGAUUAAUG
ensembl:lncRNA